CUCAGGCUUUCCUGAAGCUCGCUACCACCAUGUCAACCAUCUCCCCCUUCCCCUGCUGAUCCUGUAACUUCAGUGUCAGUCAGGAGCAAACCACCUUCCCAACAUCAUGUAUUAGUAGCAGAUCUUCACAGUAUCUUCACAAAUAUCUCUCUCUAGUACACACAUGCACACACACACACACACAUUUCUUUGAUGAAGAUAUCAGGGGAAAAGAGUUAAGACAAAGGAGAAGGAUAGCAAAGAGCAAACAAUCUGUAUAUAUUUUUAUUAUAUUUCUCAUUAAGCUCGGUUUCGGGUCUCCCAGAGGCAUGGGGUAUGAGGGCUGGAGUUGAUCUGCUCGGCUGAAAUCAUUUGAAACUUGACAUGGAUUUGAGGGCUCUGUUGUGGCCACAGAAAGAAAGAGAGGAAGGAUGGAUGGAAAGGAAAAGGGAAGGAAGGAGGGAGUGAGGAAGGAAGGAGGGAAGUGUGGGAAUUGUCUUCUAUGACUUACCCUGCUUAUCCCUGUAUUUGUGUUUAUGCCUGUAUACCUAUAUGUUUAACAUGGCAGAGAUACCAUACAGCAGGACCAUCAAGGAGAAGACUGAAUCCCAAUCCAGCAGUUAUGUGAUCUACAUCACUUGAGUGGAAGAGGAUCAGUGGAAGCACCCACUGAAUACCUGGGAGAGGGUCUAUGUUUCCUUCCAUGAAGGAGUUUAAGAUAACUUACAGCAAAAAUAUACUCAAGGAAAUUGGUGAAAACUGGAACAAUGGUGGAGACCAACGGUUGGAGAUGACAGAGCAACUGUGUGGCCUUAGUCUACUUACUUCUGAAAUGUCAGGUGAGAGAGAAAUAGAAUCCCAUGUUGGUUUUGGAGGGUGUCCUAUUCCCUAGUUAAUUCCCACAUAUC
rnacentral:lncRNA from 1 species